GCUAGGGUAGCUUAGUUGGUAGAGCAUGAGACUCUUAAUCUCAGAGUUGUGGUUUCGAGCCCCAUGUUGGGCA